rnacentral:ribozyme from 1 species
AGCAAUACUGCACUGAUAUGGGUAACGAUCCGAAGCCUCUCGAAGGAUAAUGUAGGCACUCCAUACCUUACUCCGACCCAAUAAGUUCACGGCGUACAGAAGGGAAAUAUAUCUCUCCAAAUAUCUAAGCUUGGGUAUACACUGUAUGCUUGUAUGUGGAAACCCAAUUCCUUCCUAUGUGGUAGAUGGGUUAUAUGGCUAAAUUGAGCGGA